UACGUAGGGGGCAAGCGUUGUCCGGAAUCAUUGGGCGUAAAGCGCGUGUAGGCGGUUCGGUAAGUCUGCCGUGAAAACCUGGGGCUCAACCCUGGGCGUGCGGUGGAUACUGCCGGGCUAGAGGGUGGUAGAGGCGAGUGGAAUUCCCGGUGUAGCGGUGAAAUGCGCAGAUAUCGGGAGGAACACCAGUAGCGAAGGCGGCUCGCUGGGCCAUUCCUGACGCUGAGACGCGAAAGCUAGGGGAGCGAACAGG
rnacentral:rRNA from 1 species